UGAGCAAUCUGCCCUUCUCUUUGGAAUAAGCGUUGGAAACGACGUCUAAUGCCGAAUACGACCUCCUUUCGCAUGAUCGGAGGUGGAAAGCUCCGGCGGAGAAGGAUGAGCUCGCGGCCUAUCAGCUAGUUGGUGUGGGUAAUGGCCCACCAAGGCGACGACGGGUAGCCGGCCUGAGAGGGUCGACCCGGCCACACGUGGGACUGAGACACGGCCCAGACCUCCGUACGGGAGNAGCG
rnacentral:rRNA from 1 species